GACGAACGCUGGCGGCGUGCUUAACACAUGCAAGUCGAACGAAGAGCGAUGGAAGCUUGCUUCUAUCAAUCUUAGUGGCGAACGGGUGAGUAACGCGUAAUCAACCUGCCCUUCAGAGGGGGACAACAGUUGGAAACGACUGCUAAUACCGCAUACGAUCUAACCUCGGCAUCGAGGAAAGAUGAAAGGUGGCCUCUAUUUAUAAGCUAUCACUGAAGGAGGGGAUUGCGUCUGAUUAGCUAGUUGGAGGGGUAACGGCCCACCAAGGCGAUGAUCAGUAGCCGGUCUGAGAGGAUGAACAGCCACAUUGGGACUGAGACACGGCCCAGACUCCUACGGGAGGCAGCAGUGGGGAAUCUUCCGCAAUGGACGAAAGUCUGACGGAGCAACGCCGCGUGAGUGAUGACGGCCUUCGGGUUGUAAAGCUCUGUUAAUCGGGACGAAAGGCCUUCUUGCGAAU
rnacentral:rRNA from 1 species